UCCAAACAGAAACAGCUGUCAGAGAACCUCAGUCGCGUUGCGAACGGCGAAGGCAUCGUCCGUGCCGCCCUCGUCGCCAACUUGACGCUGCGUCGAGUGUGUUUUAAAGUGAUUUGCGGCCAAAUCACGCGUACUGGCUCCAUGUUGUAGGCGAGGUUGCCACCUCAGAGUGUUGGUGCAAGUGCCACUUUGGUGGAAAAGUGUUGUGUGAUUGUUUGGUUUGUUUCUCUCGGAUUUUCUUCAUCACCUGGAGUAACAGAAAUCUUUUGCUGUAUUCGAGAUUUCGACCUGAAUUGAAGGUCUAGGUGCUUCGGAGGCACACUGCAAUCGCCCGGCUUGGCGACGCUCGGCAUCCACGGCGCCUUGCAGUGCCCCUCCCCUCCGCGUUGAUGCGGACGUCCCGCCGGUCCCGCCGGUCUCGACCACUGCAAGGGCCGCCCUCUCUUCGGCGGCGAGGUGCCUGCUAGGACCUGUCGAAAAUUGGAUCCAGUAAAAGAGCCAGCGAGGCCGACGAAGGGGAUGCAUCCGGAUCGGUAGGGGUGCGACAUCGCCGCUCUGUGCCCCUGCCCCUCCUGCCGCUCGCCCCGGUACCCCCGGCACUGCCCGCCGCGGACAUGGCCAACAGCCACGGGGG